GCUCCAGACUCCUACGGGAGGCAGCAGUGGGGAAUAUUGCACAAUGGGGGAAACCCUGAUGCAGCGACGCCGCGUGAAGGAUGAAGUAUUUCGGUAUGUAAACUUCUAUCAGCAGGGAAGAAAAUGACGGUACCUGACUAAGAAGCCCCGGCUAACUACGUGCCAGCAGCCGCGGUAAUACGUAGGGGGCAAGCGUUAUCCGGAUUUACUGGGUGUAAAGGGAGCGUAGACGGCAUGGCAAGUCUGGAGUGAAAGGCGGGGGCCCAACCCCCGGACUGCUCUGGAAACUGUAGAGCUAGAGUGCAGGAGAGGUAAGUGGAAUUCCUAGUGUAGCGGUGAAAUGCGUAGAUAUUAGGAGGAACACCAGUGGCGAAGGCGGCUUACUGGACUGUAACUGACGUUGAGGCUCGAAAGCGUGGGGAGCAAACAGGAUUAGAUACCCCUGUAC
rnacentral:rRNA from 1 species